AGUAGCGCAGCCUUUAUGCUUCACAUCAUCUUCUUCAUAUUAGCCAUCUCAUUCCAUCUCCACGUUUUUCUCUCCAUUAUCUGAUCCAGUGACCAUCAUUGACCGUCAUCUUAUGAGAGGGUAGUUCUGCAUAUCACAUCUGAGACCAGUAUUGAGGAAAGUCAGGAAUGGAUUAUCAAAUCAUUGAAUUUUGAUGCCAAACUUUCGUGAGCAAAUCUUCAUACAGUCAACUUCAUCAACGUUUUCUCCCUUAUACAGACUGACCUAGAAAACGAGUGAGAUACAAUUGGAAAGGUCUCGUUCUCUGCUUUCCACAUCAUCUUUCAGAUCGUCAAACCGAGGUA